AUUGAACGCUGGCGGCAUGCCUUACACAUGCAAGUCGAACGGCAGCGGGGGAGAAGCUUGCUUUUCCUGCCGGCGAGUGGCGAACGGGUGAGUAAUACAUUGGAACGUGCCCUGUAGUGGGGGAUAACUAGUCGACAGAUUAGCUAACACCGCAUACGACCUGAGGGUGAAAGUGGGGGACCGCAAGGCCUCAUGCUAUAGGAGCGGCCGAUGUCUGAUUAGCUAGUUGGUGGGGUAAAGGCCUACCAAGGCGACGAUCAGUAGCUGGUCUGAGAGGACGAUCAGCCACACUGGGACUGAGACACGGCCCAGACUCCUACGGGAGGCAGCAGUGGGGAAUUUUGGACAAUGGGCGAAGGCCUGAUCCAGCAAUGCCGCGUGUGGGAAGAAGGCCUUCGGGUUGUAAAGCACUUUUGUCCGGAAAGAAAUGGCUCUGGUUAAUACCUGGGGUCGAUGACGGUACCGGAAGAAUAAGGACCGGCUAACUACGUGCCAGCCGCCGCCGUAAUAC
rnacentral:rRNA from 1 species